GCGUAUCUCGCCCCCACGCCCGCGUAUCUCGCCCAACGCACACUGUGCCCCUGCCCCACGCUCGAGCAGGUAGCCGCAGCUCCCGCCGGAUCCUUCCCCACGCCCAAGCAGGCAACCACGGAUCUCGACCACUCCUGAGCAGUCAUCGCGGAUCUCGCCCCUGCUGUGCCCCCGAUGCAUGGCUCCUCAUUCUCCUCUCGGAAUCGCUCCCUCCCUCCGCGUUCGGCACCGUGCACCCCCCUCGCCUCGCAUGGCCGCCACGGGGGUCAGCCGAGGCUGGCGGGAAUACACGGGCCGCGUCUGGCAUGCGGCUGAGGAGCUUUGCCUCCGCAUCCUCACAUCCUCUGCCAUCAGCCUCCUCUUCGCGUUGCUCCUGCAUCCACCUCUGAAUCGAAAGGUGCUAGGUAAGAAUGCAGACGAGGAAACCAUAAAGACAACCUACAGCCAAGUUCUAUCACCCUGAUGGCCCAGAACUCAUGUUUUGCUAAGUCUUCUCCACCUAAGUCCUCAAAAAUUUGAACAAGGCCAUAUUAUCAGAUAAAAGCAGAUGUAGCUUUCAUAGGACUUAGUUCCAGCAAAGCAAAGGUUGACAUUGCACCAAACAAUAGCGUCUAUACUUCAUUCUUAUGGCUUGGAGAAGCCUAUGCAACAUGACAAGCCAGAUGACAUGUAGAUGAGAAGGUUCUGCAUCAAGAGAAACCAAAGCAAAAUCUUUGCAUCAAGAGAGCACCGAUGAAAAGCUGAUGUAGAGGCCAGUUGACAAACUUAUGGAAGACCAGCUGACCAAAUAAUUGAAAAUCUAUUGAACUAUGUAUCAAGUUCAUUAAUUUGUGUAAUUCUGAAUGAGACCUUUUAUGCUACUGCAACGUCUGUGACCACAAAUGACUGUUGCAGCAAGACCAUACUCCAGGAGUGGAGCUGUCUAUAUGAAGAGUGUAGGUAGAGACAAUUGGCUAAUAUUGUACAGGUUCAGUUUGCAGGAUCGUAGCAACAGGGUUCAAAGACGUGUGUUUGAAAGGGCAGUUGCUGAUGAUCAGCAUGAUGGAAGGUGGGGAGUUCCAUUGCUGGUUUAAGCUGGAGCUAGCUUCUGAAGUCCGGUCAGGUGUCUGUAUGUGUUGCCCUUUUUUAUUUCAUUUCAUGAGAGAGGAUUGUUAUUUGUUCCUUGAACUGUACUUGGUCGUACUUGUGAAUAAAUGUUUUAGCAUGGUUGUUCAACUUCU